rnacentral:lncRNA from 1 species
GAAUUGUCUGUGAUUUCCAUGUUUUUUUAUGGCGGGCAGGAGUCAAGGAAAACGGCUUCUGCUGAUCCAAUGUAGACAAAGAUGUUAGUUAGUGGAGACAAACAAUGUCCCACCAUAUGCAAGUGGGAAUACCUAAUCUCCCACUUGGCACAUGGUGGAGGACACAAAGUGGAGGCAACGGUGGGCAUCAAUCAUGCCCCUUCAAUCAUCAAUUGUAUAUGUAUAGCUGUGUGUGUAUGAAGAACAUAGAGAGAGUAGCGUGAGAAACACAGAGAGAAGAGAGAACAGAGAAGAAUAGAGAGAGCUUGAGAGAGUAGAGUUGAGUUGAGAGAGUUUUAUCUCCUCCUCCUUUGUUUGUAUUGUUUGUAAGCUUCAUUAAUACAAACCAGUAGCUCCGUGGAGUAGGCAAGUUGCCGAACCACGUAAAUUGUGUGUGAUUGAGUUCUGGAAUUAUCCCAACAACUGGUAUCAGAGCUUGUUCUUGACAAAGAGGGUGUUUGAUCCAAACUCAAAAAUCAAAGUUCUCCAAACGUGUUUUUGAACAUACCAUCGUGUAGAGGACAACCGGACGAAUCCACUGUUUCAAACCCGGCGAAGAACCGACGUCCUGCAUGCCCGAACGCGCCAACACGCGCCGACGCCCAGACUGCCCACGCGCACCAACGCGCCGUACGCGCGCCACGCUCCAUCUUCGCCCGGCUUCUGCAAAACGGGUCGGGCUAACCCGCCACGUCAUCACAGCCGUACGGUCCACGUCCGCGUUACCUGCCACGUCACCUGACACGUCAUCUAUGAGUUUUGUUCCGAUGUGUCGCAGAAGCUGAUAUUCUGACACGUGGCUACAUCACAACCGUUGAGGGGUUUUGAUCCAGUACGACGCAGGAUCCAAUCAGUUGACACGUGGUUAAAUCAGGACCACUAUUGAGUAUUGAUCCAGUGUGACUCAGGCCAUCAUCUGCUGACACGUGGCUUCAUCAUAACCGUUACUGAGUUUUGAUACGGUGUGACGCAGGACCUAAUCUGCGGACACGUGGCUUCAUCAGAACCGCUACUGAGGUUUUGAUCCGGUGCGACGCAGGCGGUACUCUGGUUGACACGCGGCUGCAUCUGCACCGUCCGUUAAUUCAAAACGUUGAUUGCUAAAAUCUGAGCCAUCCGAAGUCCGAUUGGGGUGAUCUCAGUGUCAUUUCCAAGGUUUUCGGCUGUUCCGGACACAUCUGUAAGGUCAGAUUUGGGAAAUUCAAAUCGGAGAAGUAGUAAAAAUGGCAGAUGAAAUAAAAGCAGCUGGAAUUGAAAAAUUUGACGGGACAGAUUUUGGAUACUGGAAAAUGCAAAUUGAGGAUUAUCUAUAUGGGAAGAAACUUCAUCUUCCCUUGUUGGGGAGUAAACCAGAAAAUAUGCAAGAAGAAGAUUGGCUACUUCUUGAUAGACAAGUUCUGGGCAUUGUCCGGUUAUCCUUAUCAAGAAGAGUUGCUCACAAUGUUACGAAAGAAAGAUCCACUGCAAGAUUGAUGGAAGCCUUGUCUGGGAUGUAUGAGAAGCCAUCAGCAAAUAAUAAAGUGCACCUGAUGAAAAAGUUGUUCAACUUGAAGAUGGUCGAAAACACUUCUGUGACACAACACCUCAAUAACUUUAAUACCAUCACAAAUCAAUUAUCAUCUGUUGAGAUUGAGUUUGAUGAUGAGAUUCGUGCACUCAUCUUGCUAGCUUCACUUCCAAGCAGUUGGGAAGGCAUGAGGACAGCCGUGAGCAAUUCAGCUGGAAAAUCCAAACUGAAGUAUGAUGACAUUCGAGACUUGAUUUUGGCUGAAGAAGUGCGAAGGAAAGACUCGGGUGAAAGUUCAAGCUCAGGAUCAGCUCUCAACAUCAACACUCGAGGGAGGAGACAUGAUAGAGGCUUAUCCAGAGGCAGAUCAAAAUCAAGAUAUAGAAGUAAAAGCAAGUUUGGACCCAGAAAGCAGGUUGAAUGUUGGAAUUGUGGCAAACCUGGUCAUUUCAUGAGGAAUUGCACAAAACCGAAAAAACCUGAAGCUGACUCUGCAAACGCUACCACAAAUGAGGUGCAAGAUGCUUUGAUUCUUGCUGUGCAUAGUCCUGUUGAUGAUUGGGUUCUUGAUUCUGGUGCUUCAUUUCACUGUACACCACACCAUGAAAUGAUGCAAAACUAUAUUGCUGGAGAUCACGGUGUAGUCUAUCUGGCCGAUGGACAACCAUUGGAUAUUGUGGGUUUAGGAGAUGUACAAAUCAAGACAAUGAAUGGAUCUAUAUGGACCUUGCAAAAUGUAAGGCAUGUUCCUGAUCUAAAGAAGAAGCUGAUCUCGGUCGGACAACUUGAUGAUAGUGGUCAUUCAAUCCUUUUUUCUGGAGGUAUGUGGAAGGUAUCAAAGGGAGCAAUGGUUUUGGCUCGUGGAAAGAAAACCGGCACCCUGUAUAUGACCACAAGAUUUGCAGACAUUAUUGCCUCUACUGAAGCAGAAAAUCAAGCACAUCUAUGGCACUGUAGACUCGGCCAUAUGAGUCAAAAGGGGAUGAAGGUACUUCAAUCGAAGGGAAAGCUGCCAGAGCUUAAAAAUGUUGAUCUCGACAUUUGUGAAAGCUGUGUUCUUGGAAAACAGAAGAAGCUCAGUUUCUUAAAGGUUGGCAGGACCUUAAGACCAAGAAAGCUAGAGCUGGUACACACAGAUUUAUGGGGACCGUCUCCAGUAGCAUCUCUUGGAGGUUCUCGGUAUUACGUGACUUUCAUUGAUGAUUUCAGCAGGAAGGUAUGGGUUUACUUUCUGAAAAAUAAAUCUGAUGUGUUUGAAACAUUCAAGAAAUGGAAGGCUAUGGUUGAGACUGAAUCAGGUCUAAAGUUGAAAUGCUUAAGAUCUGAUAAUGGAGGAGAAUACAUUGAUGGAGGUUUCAAGGAGUAUUGUGCUGUCAAUGGUAUCAGAAUGGAAAAGACCGUUCCAGGCACACCGCAACAGAAUGGCGUUGCUGAACGGAUGAACAGGACCAUCAAUGAACGAGCUAGAAGCAUGAGGUUGCAUUCAGGGUUACCUCAAACAUUCUGGGCCGACGCAGUUCAUACCGCAGUUUACUUGAUCAACCGUGGACCAUCAGUUCCUUUGGAGUUCAGACUGCCCGAGGAAGUAUGGAGAGGAAAAGAGGUACAACUCUUUCAUUUAAAGGUCUUUGGGUGUGUUUCCUAUGUUCAUAUAGAUUCUGAUGCUCGCAACAAGUUGGAUGCCAAAUCCAAGAAAUGUUUCUUCAUCGGCUAUGGAGAUGAAGAAUUUGGCUUUCGGUUCUGGGAUGAUCAGAAUAGAAAGAUUAUCAGAAGCAGGAACGUGAUCUUCAAUGAGAAAGUUCUGUACAAAGACAGAUCAAGUGCAGAAACAGAUAAGGCUGAUUCAGAUACAAGGCCACAAGGAUCUGAAUUCAUAAGAUUAGAAGGCCUUCCCGAUGUUACUGAGCAGAACAACAAUCAAGAGUCUUUACAAGAAGACUCAAGCAUAUCUGUACCCGCUACUACACAAGAAGAUGCGGAGCAAAUUGAACCAGCUGUUCGCAGGUCUUCGAGGACGAUAAAGCCCCCGCAACGGUUCACACUUUUACUGAAUUACAUUUUGUUGACAGAUGGUGGUGAACCGCUAACUUAUGAAGAAUCCUUACAAGAUGGAAACUCAAGCAAGUGGGAGUUAGCCAUGAAGGAUGAGAUGAGUUCGUUGCUGAAGAACAAGACUUGGGAGCUAACCACACUGCCUGAAGGAAAGAAGGCUUUACAAAACAAGUGGGUUUACAGAGUGAAGACUGAGCAUGACGGAAGUAAACGGUUCAAGGCAAGACUUGUUGUCAAAGGGUUUCAACAAAAGAAAGGCAUUGACUACUCUGAGAUAUUUUCUCCAGUUGUGAAGCUCACAACAAUCAGAGUUGUUCUGGGGAUAGUAGCUGCAGAAAAUUUACAUCUUGAACAGUUAGAUGUAAAAACAGCAUUCCUUCAUGGUGACUUGGAGGAAGAUAUUUAUAUGCAACAGCCAGAGGGGUUUGCAAUGCAAGGAAAGGAGAAUCAAGUCUGCAAGCUACAGAAAAGCCUAUACGGUUUGAAGCAAGCUCCAAGACAGUGGUACAAGAAGUUUGACAACUUCAUGUGCAGUUCCGGAUAUACAAGAUGCCAAGCUGAUCAUUGUUGCUAUGUCAAACAUUUUGACAACUCCUACAUCAUUCUACUAUUAUAUGUAGAUGAUAUGUUGAUUGCAGGAUCCAGCAUUGAGGAGAUUGAUAAGCUGAAACAGCAGUUGUCAAAACAGUUUGAAAUGAAGGAUCUGGGAGCUGCUAAACAAAUACUUGGCAUGAGAAUCUUCAGAGAUAAAGACAAAGGCGUACUAAAGCUUUCACAAACAGAGUAUGUCAAGAAGGUUCUCAGCAGGUUUAGUAUGGAUAAUACUAAACCAGUAAGUACACCACUGGGGAAUCAUUUCAAGCUCAGCAAAGAUCAGUCACCAAAAACUGAGCAAGAAUGUGGAUACAUGGAUAAGAUUCCAUACGCCUCAGCUAUCGGCUCUUUGAUGUAUGCUAUGGUCUGUACCAGACCAGACAUUGCCCAUGCAGUGGGAGUUGUAAGCCGAUAUAUGAGCAAUCCUGGAAAGCAGCAUUGGGAGGCGGUCAAAUGGAUCAUGAGGUACUUAAAAGGUUCCUCGGAAACUUGUCUCAGUUUCACAGCUGGUGGUUUGAAACUUGAAGGUUUUGUAGAUGCUGAUUUAGCAGGAGAUGUUGAUAGCAGAAAGAGCACUACAGGAUAUGUUUAUACUCUAGGAGGUACUGCUGUUUCCUGGAGUUCUACCUUGCAAAAGAUCGUUGCUCUUUCAACAACAGAAGCUGAAUAUGUUGCAGUCUCAGAAUCUGCAAAAGAGAUAGUAUGGUUGCAGAGUUUCCUGAAGGAAUUGGGCAAGUUGAAUGGAAAAGGUACUUUGUAUAGCGACAGUCAAAGUGCAAUCUUCCUUGCCAAGAAUCCAGCAUUUCACUCCAGGACGAAGCAUAUUCAGAUCAAAUAUCACUUCAUCCGACAAUUGCUAGACGAUGAACAACUGAUGCUAGAAAAGGUCUGCGGAAGCAAGAAUCCAGCUGACAUGUUAACCAAAGGAGUUACACUUGAUAAACUGAAGUUGUGUAAAACUUCAGUUGGUCUUCAAGGAUAAAUGAUGAUUUCAUUGUUUGUCUCCAAGUGGGAGAUUGUUAGUUAGUGGAGACAAACAAUGUCCCACCAUAUGCAAGUGGGAAUACCUAAUCUCCCACUUGGCACAUGGUGGAGGACACAAAGUGGAGGCAACGGUGGGCAUCAAUCAUGCCCCUUCAAUCAUCAAUUGUAUAUGUAUAGCUGUGUGUGUAUGAAGAACAUAGAGAGAGUAGCGUGAGAAACACAGAGAGAAGAGAGAACAGAGAAGAAUAGAGAGAGCUUGAGAGAGUAGAGUUGAGUUGAGAGAGUUUUAUCUCCUCCUCCUUUGUUUGUAUUGUUUGUAAGCUUCAUUAAUACAAACCAGUAGCUCCGUGGAGUAGGCAAGUUGCCGAACCACGUAAAUUGUGUGUGAUUGAGUUCUGGAAUUACCCAACAAAAGAUACAUAAAAAGGCAAGGGUGAAAGUUGGAAACUGCUUUUUCUUUGUUAAUAAAACUACUUGAUAUCAUUCUUUGGAU